AUGAGUGUGAUCUGCGUCCUCAUCUGGACUCUCCUCUGCUGCUGCUUCACAGAGUCCUUGGUCCAGGUCACAGUGACUCAGCCUGGAGCAGUGAGUGCUGCUGUGGGAGGAUCCGUCUCUAUCCCAUGUAGAACAAGUUUUAGGGUUAAUUAUUAUAAAAACAAUCACCAGUUAUCCUGGUAUCAACAGAAAGAUGGAGAAGCUCCUAAACUACUCAUUUACUAUGCUCACAAUCGAACAUCAGAGACUCCAACUCGUUUUACAGGCAGUAGCGGUGAAGGAUCAGAUUAUGAUUUCACUCUGACCAUCAGCGACGUCCAGCCUGAAGAUGCAGCAGUUUAUUACUGUAUGGGUGAAUUCUACAUCAACGUUAUCUUUGUAUCACUGUGGCUCACGUUUGGUGGAGGAACCAGACUGGAGUUUGGAAGUGACACCAGUCCAUCCCUGACCGUGCUCCUCCCCUCCAAGGAGGAGAAGCAGCAGGGAAAUGCCACACUCAUGUGUGUGGCCAACAAGGGCUUCCCCUCAGACUGGACUCUGUCCUGGAAGGUGGACGGCUGCAUUAAGAGCAGCAACUGGGAGGAGAGCAGGAGCCCCGGGGUGCUGCAGAAGGACGGCCUCUACAGCUGGAGCAGCACCCUGAGGCUCUCUGCAGACCAGUGGGAGAAGGUGACCUGUGAGGCCAAGAGAGGAUCCCAGACUGCAGUCUCAGAGACUCUCAGGAGAGACCAGUGCUCCCAGUCCUGAAACAUUCUGGCUGUAUUUCUUUGAGACGUCUUUUUUUUUCUCAUUCUUUCCUAUUUACUCACAAUCUUUUCUUUUAAAGAUGUUUCUAAAUUUUCAUUAGUAAUCUUUUUCAGAAUUUAAAAUGUUUUUUGCAUCAAUAAAAAUACAUUUAAUGAUUGAAAAAUGUGACAUUUUUUUAAUCAGGUUGGAGUAUGACUAUAUAUAAAACAAAUACAAGAUUUUUUUUUGAGAAAACGAUUUAUUGAUGAGGUGAAGUCCAGAAAUUGGCAUGGCAGGUGUUCAGUGCUCUCCAAAAGUUUGGCCAGGCUGGAAAACUAAUCAGACUAAAUAAAAUCAGACCGGAAUUGUGCUCAAUAGCACUAAAGAUCAGCUGAAAGACUAUUGAGUAGAGGCUGGGACAAGAAAAAAGAAAAAAAAAAAGUUCUUAAAUACAGCACAGGUGAGUAAAGAUGGUUCUAGGUAUGUCAGGAGUCCUCACCAUUAACCCAGUACACCUAUGCAGACUUAACAAAAAAAAAA